GAUUAACGCUGGCGGCGUGCAUAACACAUGCAAGUCGAACGAUGAAACUUAAAUGAUUUCUUCGGAAUGAACUUAAGUGGAUUAGUGGCGGACGGGUGAGUAACGCGUGAGUAACCUGCCUUACACAAGGGGAUAGCCGUUGGAAACGACGAAUAAUACCCUAUGAAACUAUCACUUCGCAUGAAGCGAUAGUCAAAGUGUUAGCGGUGUAAGAUGGACUUGCGUCUGAUUAGCUAGUUGGUGAGAAAAAAGCCCACCAAGGCAACGAUCAGUAGCCGGCUUGAGAGAGUGUACGGCCACAUUGGGACUGAGGCACGGCCCAGACUCCGACGGGAGGCAGCAGUGGGGAAUUUUGCACAAUGGGGGAAACCCUGAUGCAGCGACGCCGCGUGAUUUAGAAGGCCUUCGGGUUGUAAAAAUCUUUUGUAUAGGAAGAAAAUGACAGUACUAUACGAAUAAGGUCCGGCUAAUUACGUG
rnacentral:rRNA from 1 species